AAAACUGAGACACAUGGUAUAACCAAGGAUUUUUAUGCCGAUUCUACACAUAUGAGUGCCACAGAGUUUGUAUGUCUCAAGCUGGAGUUUUCAGGACUUCUGAGAGAUUUACAGGGGCAAAGGGCUAGAAUAUUUGAAACUAAGAGUGUUUUGGAAAAUGUUGGCUGGGACAGGUGAAUACACAGUUUUGACCCUCUCUGAACUGUUUUCUUGCAGGUCUGUUUCCAAUGGAGAGGAGAAUGGGGGUCAAAGGGAAAGAAAUCCCUAAUCGUCGGAGCUACAGGUUCCUUCCCGCCCUCCCACGUGUAGCAGCUUUAUCCCUCUGAGGCCUCCCACCUUGAAGAAAAGCCCAGAACAGAACAGAAGAGAACAGAACACAGGAAGUUCUGCUUGCUCAGUGACACAACGGACCGAAGUGCCCGAGACACCUACUAAAGACACACAGUGAAAAAGUCUCUGCGCCAGGGAAGACCUGAGGUUACCAACGGUCCUAAGUUCUCGUGUGUGGCAUCUUGCUGUGUGUGGUGGGGACGCAGGGACCGGAGACGGCCACCGCCCCAGAAGAAGCUGCGAUGCAAUGGGGAAGACCAGCCCUACACACGGAAGCCGGAGGUGCAGAGCUACAGCACAAGGACGGAAAGGCAAAACUCAGUGACAUGCUGCUUCUGCUCAGGAGGAACUUCUCAGAGCAGAGUGGCUGACCACUCUUGGCCGCAUCCCUGCAAUGCACCCUCCAUCCCCCCUUCUAGGUCCUCUCUUGAGCUGCCUCCACACGGCCCCCACGCAUCAGUCACACACCCACACAGCGCUGGAUAAACGCGAGUGUGCACCAGAAACAUCUAG